GCAGGGGUACCGAAGCGGUCAAACGGACCAGACUCAAGAUCUGGUGGCUUAGUGCCUUCGGGGGUUCGAAUCCUCCCUCCUGCA
rnacentral:tRNA from 1 species